AUUGAACGCUGGCGGCAGGCCUAACACAUGCAAGUCGAACGAGUGGCGGAAGGGUGAGUAAUGUCUGGGAAACUGCCUGAUGGAGGGGGAUAACUACUGGAAACGGUAGCUAAUACCGCAUACACACGGAUGUGCCCAGAUGGGAUUAGCUAGUAGGUGGGGUAAAGGCUCACCUAGGAGACGAUACCUAGCUGGUCUGAGAGGAUGACCAGCCACACUGGAACUGAGACACGGUCCAGACUCCUACGGGAGGCAGCAGUGGGGAAUAUUGCACAAUGGGCGCAAGCCUGAUACAUCCAUGCCGCGUGUAUGAAGAAGGCCUUCGGGUUGUAAAGUACUUUCAGCGGGGAGGCGUUACCCGCAGAAGAAGCACCGGCUAACUCCGUGCCAGCCGCCGCGGUAAUAC
rnacentral:rRNA from 1 species